ensembl:lncRNA
CCGGGCGCCGCCGCCGUCCCCCGCAUCACGAGCACCGGCACGGGGGCAGAUCCCGCUCGGGGGUACCCUCCGGGCUCGGGGGUCCCCGAUGUGGCUGUCCGAGAGCGGCGGGGGAGGGGGAACCGGGGUGGGAGGAGGCGUACCCCGCUCCUGUGGCAUCGGUCCCAGCUUGGAUCUGCUUAGCGGGAGUGCUGUCCGACUCAGCGCCAAGGAAGCGUGGAAGAAGGUUUUAAGAAGGUUUGGGGCAUCCAGAAAUGUCAAAUCAGUGCCACAGGCUCGGGCAUUGCCCCCACUAAAUAAGUACACCUCGAGAGUUACCUGCCCAGGGAACUGACUGCCGAGCGGCAGCAAUGAAAUUGUCACUGCACUCACUGCCGGGACGGCCCUGAGCGCCCAUGGCUGCCUUCUGAGAGACUGUCCUGAAUCUUAUCGUGUUAUAUUUCUGUGCCUGAACAACACACCACGGCAAACAGUCCACCAGUGCCACGGGAUCCUGCUCUGACCCACGGUGGCUGCCCCCUGCUGAAUGGCACACGACAACUUCUCUCAGGAUGGGGCUGCGGGGACUGACCUGCCCAAGAUGCCUGAUUUUGGGGUGUCUUUAAAUUUGCCCAGACCUUGAGUCCUAAAAGAGAAAUGGGCACCUUACAGCGAGCUAACCCCUCAUACGUUGGAGCUCUGAGACAAGGCAGACUUCAAGAAAGGUUUGGACAGUGCUCUCAGACAUACGGUUUGAGUGGUGCUGUGUGGAGCGAGGAGUUGGAUUCGGUAAUCCCCGUGAGUCCCUCCCAACUGGGGGUAUUCUGUCGUUCUGUGACUGUAAGCAGGGUGGGCAUCCCUCAGCAACGUAUCCUUCUGCACUGACGGCAGCGGGGUGAGACACCCACCAGCAGAGUGCUGACGUUGGGUAGGGUGAAGCCAACUCAGACAAAGUUCUGUUGAAGAAAGAAUUUGUUGAAGAGUUUGGUGGAGUUAGCAACUACUCAUACGUAUUAGUAAAACUGAAUUAAUUCUUCAGAAACAGGUAAUUUGAUUAGUGUCUUCAUGACCAAUGACUAAUUCCAGUUGGAAUGACAAAUCAUGACUCUAAACAGAUCUUAUUUUUGCUGUAAUUUGAAGGUAAAAUAACAACCGCGCAAGUAAGAAUAUCAGACAUGCUGACAGAAAGCUUUAAGAGAUCUUCUAAAAUUGUAUUAGGCAUAUACUGCAUCAUAGGUAGUUAUUCAUUGCUAUAGUUAUUAAUAUAUGUAGUUACUGCUUUAAUAAUCAUAGAACAUAUUUUGGAAAACAAUCGUCAGGCAAGAGUAAAGCCGGAAAUCAUUUCCAUCACUCUACAUUGUCCCCAAAACCCUUAUCAAGUAAAUGACUCCUGCAGCAUGCGAGGAAGCUCGCUGGUCUGUGUCCAUCUCAAGCCAUGGAAGCAAAGAAAAUGCCAAAGCCCUUAACGUCAAAAUAGUUUGAACUCUUCAUGACUCAGUAGUGCAUUGGCCACAAACCUUACAGCGAGACCGCAGCUCUCUUUUAUCAAAUGCUGCCUGAAGAAUUUUAAUGCAUGUGAGGAACUUUCCAUGGCAUAGCCAGCGACUGCAGCUUCUGACUGCAGCACAGCUGAGGACAGGGUGACACCGUGCCCCACCACGUGGCCUUGCUGCACCCCACGCACUCUGUUCCCCCAGCAGCAACACUGCUGCAGCACCACUGAAGAACACUGAAGGUGUUCACGUUGACUCAACGUAAAAUCAUAGAACCAUUAAGGCUGGAAAAGACCACUAAGGUCAUCUAGUCCAACCACCAACCUAUCCCCAGCAUGCCCACUGACCAUGGCACUCAUCACCACGUCUCUACAUUUCUCAAACACCUCCGUCACCUCCCUGGUCAGCCCGUGCCAGUGCAUCACCACACUGUCAGAGAAAAAAUGUUUCCAGAUAUCCAAAAUGAACCUCUUCUGGUGCAACUUGAGGCCAUUACGUCUCAUCCUAUCACUUAAAUACAUGGAAUAAGAGGCCAACACCCACCUUGCCCCAACCUCCUUUCAGGCAGUUGAAGAGAUAUAAGGUCUUCCUGAACCUCCUCUUCUCCACACUGAACAAUCCCAGCUCCCUCAGCCUCUCUCCAUAAGAACUGUGCUCCAGACCCUUCACAGCUUCAUUGCCCUUCUCUGAACAUGGUCCAGAGCCAAAACUCAACACAGUACUCGAGGUGCAGCCUCACCAUUGCUGAGCACAGAGGGAGGAUCACCUCCCUGUUCCUGCCGGCUACACUGUUUCUGAUACAAGACAGGAUGCCAUUGGCCCUCUUGGCCAGCUGGGCACACUGCUGGCUCUCGUUCACUCAGCUAUCCACUAACACCCCCAGAUCCUUUUCCUCUAUACAGCUUUCCAGCCGCUCUGCCCCAAACCUGUAGCACUGCAUGGGGUUGUUGUGGCCAAAGUGCAGGAUCUGGCACUCGGCCAGAAGCAGUCUGACCCCUGUGACACUGCAAAUGUGAGCAACUGUGCUUUGCUUCUAUCACUUUCCCUGUGCCACGCCAAAUCCAGCAAGCUGCCAAAUCCAAACCUUGCACCCAUCUGCUUUGUCAGCUUUGAGGGGUGCAGGGGACCAGCAGGCACAGCACUGCAGCCCUACACAGCAGGAUGACGUGCCAUCACCACAGUACUCCGCUCCAGCCUGGCUCUGCCACAGCCACCUCCUGUGCCCUCAGCACUGGACGUGACUUUCUCACCUUUGAACCAUUUCACAAACGUCUCCCAGUCACGCCCCACUCUGUGCGGGGUGCCAAACCAUACCACUUGUUGCGUAACUUCAGGAUAUUCCUCCUUGUACAGUGCCAGCAUUCAAUUUAGGAAAUCCCAAGUGAGGAAUCCAACGUUUUAAUCCAAAUGAUUUAGGAGGAAAUCGUUCCAGUGUUAACUCCUGCUGCUGCUUUAAGGGCCUCUCAGCACUCCCACACAGGCCAUAGCCUGGAAAGACACUCUGCCCUCCACAGCGCCGAUUGCUCAGUGUCAGAGGUGUGCAUACACCCUAUUCCAUCCUUCAGGAUUAAGAAGACACCUCAGAGACUUCUUGAGGAUGGAAACUUCUGUGUUUGAAUAGAGAGCAACGGAGGGUACAUCACUGUGGGGAAAAAGUGAAAAGGAAGAUAACAGUCAGAUUUUACCUAUGUUUUAGUGACGCUGUAUGUAAAGAUUCAAGCUGAUUAGCCUACAAAUAUCAGGCAACACCAUGAACAUGAAGAUGUCCAACAUAUCUUUCCACAAGCAGCAUAAAAGUGUAAUAAAAUCACGUCAUUUAUUAAUGGCAAUAUAUAUGAUUGCAUUAAAGCGUGGUUUUUUGCCAUAAUUAAAGCUAAAUGUAGUAUUAUUAAAUCUGGAAACAAUGUUAAUUACAGCAUGCUUUUUGUGGUAUUCACUGAAUUAAAGCUGUAUUAUUGUUAUUACAAAUAUACCCCAUUACAUUUGGACCAGUUGAUCUUAGUGAUCUUUUCCAACCUUAACGAUUCUAUGAUCAUAUGGUCAGUGACUUUGAACUACCAUUCCAUAACAGCCCACUAAUAGCCCUUGUUUUAAAUACAAGAACAAGGCAUGUGCAAGUACAAGGAAAGCAUUAAAAGCUGGAGCCCCAGGAAGACAGAUGAGCUACCAGGGACCUGGAAAUGGCAGAUUUUAUCAUCUGAUGUUGCCUGCACUCGUGCAAUUAAAAUGUCUCACUAAAGGUUUCCGUAGCUGAGCGAACUGUCCAGAAAUGCUCAAUCUUUGGGACUGGAAGUUCAGUCAGAUAAGCACUGUAUAAUUAUUCGGUAGUCACAUGAAUUUAUCUGAACCUAUUUGGACAGAAAAUUGGCCUGUUGAUUUACAAAAAUCUCUCUCACACACUUUACGGUAUUGCCGAUUUCAGCCUGCUUAGUAACACUUUCAGAACAGCUUCUCAUUGUACUUUGAUGCAUCACACCAAUACACAUUUCCAGACUUUUAUGGGCUCCUUUCAGUGCUUUUAUUCAGCUGCCCUGUACGUAGCAGUAAGAGUCGAACAGAACAUCCUGUAAUCCCAGAGCAAUGACCCCUCCCGGCUACUUGGUAAUAGCACUGUUUUCAAGCAGAGUAUUUGUGCAUCCUGUAAAUGUUAAGAAGGCUCAUUAUAUUCCACCAGAAGUAUGGUUCUGGCUACAAACAAACUACAUGAAAACAGAAGAGAGAGGAAAAUCCAGUGAUUAAACCAAAAGUCCAUCUGUCUUCUCUUCAGUAGCAGCUAGAACGGGCUUCUCCAGCUUUCAUUCAGAACAAGAAAAGCAUGCUACUCUGUUCGCUCUGUGUACUUUCCCAACCUGUAGAAAACUGUGCUGCAGGGAUGUUUGAGAGGGAUGGCCAGCAGGGCAAGGGAGGUGAUCAUCCCCCUCUGCUCUGCCCCUUUGAGACCCCAUCUGCAGUACUGUGUCCAGACCUGAGGCCUCCAGCACAAGAAAGACGUGGGGCUGCUGGAGUGGAUCCAGAAGAGGGCUACAAAAAUGACCAGAAAGCUGGAGCACCUCUUCUUUGAAGAGAGGUUGAGGGAGCUGGGCUUGUUCAGCCUGGAGAAGAGAGGCUCUGGAAAGACUUCACUGUGACCUUCCAGUACUUCAAGGGAGGUUAUAGGCAGGAGGGAAAUCAACAUUUCACAUGGGUAGAGAGUGACGGGACAAGGGGGAAUGGCUUUUAGCUAAGAGAGGAGAAAUUUAGGCUGGAUUCUUCACUGAGAGAGUGGUGUGGUCCUGGCACAGGCUGCCCACAGAAGCUGUGGGUGCCCCAUGCCGGAAGGCAAUCAAGGCCAGGUUCAAGGCCAUGGGCAACCUGAUGUGGUGGACGGCGGCCCUGCCCAAGGCAGGGGGUUGGGACUAGAUGAUCUUUAAGGUUCCUUUCAACCCAAACCAUUCUACAAUUCUAUGAUUCUGUGACUCUAUAACUUCGCAACUUAGCAGCCUCCCGUGGCAUGGACCACUUCUGGCAAUACACGAACAGCUCCCAUACAACCACUUGACUGUAAGCUGCAGAAACCAGGAUGGAAUAAAUUGUUAUUUAAGACCACGUUGUUCACGUUGAAGGCCCUGCAAAAAUUUGACUCACAGUCUUUGCAGUAUAUGACUAGAAAUCAGAAAAAUAAAACCUGGUUUCAGGGGAAUCUUAAAAUGAAAGCUCCAGAGAGACUUCUGAAGUGCCACAACAAGGUCAGAGGGCCAUCAGCAAUUGUCCCGGGGACAUGUGGUAAAAAGCUCUGUUUUGACAUGAAUGCAAUGAUACUCAAAUAAGCAGUAGAACUAUAAACAGUACUUGCAACGGUAAUGACAUUUGUUUUGCUGCACCUUCUUUCCUUUCCUACCCCCUCGGGACAAAAGAACUACAAAGAGAGAGAAGCUGGGAUGGAGAUCAGAAUGCAACCUCUGGGAACACGUCUACUGCUGUGAACAGUGUCAGCAAGGAACAGCUUACGAGAAGGUAGUGGUAUAAAGCAAAUGAAUCAAAACAGAGUCUAUAUCAGAAACAGAAAUUUAUCCUCACCAAAAGAAAGUGGUUUUUCACACAUGUAAGAUGAGGAAGUUGGCAAAGCUGCCAUGACUUAAAGACAACCAGAAUUACUAGAAAUAACCAUUCUCUGCCUCAGUGUAUGUCUUGACUGCAGUCCUGUUAAGGAGGGAAAUCGGAGAAGAAGUGAGAGAAGCCCAAAGAGACUGCACUGUGAGACUGUGCUGAGAUGACUCUGCCUGAAAAGGCAAACGGCAAAAACUUGCCUGAAACACAGGAGAUAGCAGAGGGUGAUGGGAUUGUGCCAAGGACUGAAGAAAUCCAAUCGCGCUCAUACAGAGAACAGUCACACAACUUACCUGCAGGGAAUAAAUCGGAGAGGCAGAUAUACAAAAGACAUCUGCAAAGGCUUCUGAAAAACCCUCCUAUGUGCGUUCAUUUAUAGAGCAUUACCACUUACUGAUAUGUGCACAGCAAUGAAUUCAUCUACAUCCAAGGCACUGGAGCUGAAAAACUUCCUUAUGCUUAAAAUGUGGAUAUUAUACAGAUUAAAAAAAUCGCCCAGCAGAUUAACAGUCCGAGCACAGUCAGAAUCACUUUUGCUUCCUGUCCUGAAACAGUGACACAGCUGAGAGCAAACUUUAUCCCCGAUGGUUUCAGAAUUGUGUAUGCUGGACACCUUAUUACUCAUCAAGGCAUGAAGAGCAGGAAACCGCCGGUGCUAAAGCUACAGCACUUUUAAAAGGGGAUCUAAACAAGGAGAUGGGGUGAUAUAUUGAUGAACUCAAUGGUAAUACGGGAUGGGAUUUACUAGCUUUGACUAUCUAAAAAGUAGGCUCCUGAUUUAAGUGGCCCAGACUCACCCUAUGGUCAAAACAAGAAAAGGCAAGUGGCUGCAGAGUAUUUCACCUAAGGUAACUGAGACUCCACUGGGAGAUGCUCCUCAUUCCUUGUCCUCUUAAAACACAAAUAGUCUUAGGGGUGCUCUGACUUCAAACAGUUUGUCUGCAUCUUACUAACAUAUCUUAAUUCAUGUCUAGUGAAUGAGCUCUGCCAGAUAAAUUCCAUGUUCAACCAUUAAUUCAGCAAAUCUGACAUCAGGAAAAAGAGAUCUAUCUGGUAUUCUGUUUGUGUUCUUGGUUUCUUUUCUUGCUAACUGGUACAGUGUGGAGUGUAAGAGCAUGGCAGCUGCAAUGGUAACCACAGGUAUAUUCUGGAUAUGAAAAGCACAAGAAUAUAAGUAACAAAUUCUAUCUUAGAAACAUCCUACUUUAUUUCACAAAAAUUAGCAGUGAUAUUCUUUAUGCAAGUAGAAGCAAUUGGACAAGAGCUGAUGUGGUGGCCCUCAACCUGCCACUGUGCUAUUGGUAAUUUCACCCUUUAAUUGUGGUCAGCUGAGAGACUGCAUAGGUAAAUAUGGAGUUAUCCACUUUGUAAUCUAUAAUUGAGGAUAAGAUCUUGCGGAAAUGCCUUUUUUGUACACUCUCCCUUGAGAAAAGGAACGGACUGAGACACUUUUGGCUCCCUCUUCGCAUUAGUCCAACCUCCACUCAAAGCAGGAAAAUACAAAAGGAUUUGCUGGAGCUAUAGUACUUGAAUGGGAGCCAAAGUCUGGGAAGUAUCAGCGUGGGCAGGUUGGAGGGGUCGGCUGCAAGCUGGAAGCCAAAGGUGGCAUGCAGCCAGCCAUGCCACGUGUACAAAGGCAGGGCUCUGCCAAUGUCUGAGGGACGGCCUGCACGAAGACACCAGGCUGGGGGAAGUCCUGCUCAGAUUCUCAGGAGCUUCAAGCAAUAGUUUCAUGGAAGUGUAUGUUAAUGCAGCUUUUGGCCGUUGCCCUGCAAGCUGCAGCUGGCAAAGCAUGGAUUUGAUACGCAGAGUGUCCGUUCUUUGAAAGAAAAACAACCAGGAUACUCAAAGACCUGAUUUUUCUUCUUAAGGUACCCAUCCCUACAGUAUUUGCGACCAUAUAAAGUAGGCAUGUCUCUGAAACGAUCUGUACAUCUGUUUCUGGCCUUAUAAAUACAGAGCCUUACACAGGACUUGCCAAACCUGUGAUCAUUUGCACACCACAGUAUGUUCAAAUGGAACCAAUAAAGCAUUGCUCCCAGGAAGCAAAAUCUCAGCUGUGCAGUGUAAUUCCCCAAAAUGUAUUUGUUUCAUAGCAGUCAAAACUUGUGCAGCUAUAAGAACUGACAUGAUUGCUAAAUACACUGACAGAGAUAUUCUGGUAUUUGCUUGGAUAACUUCUGUAGUUUUCUUCUGCUUUUAAUUGUCCAGAGUAUAGUAGUGGUUUCCCGUUCUUCAGAAGUUGCCAGAUUAUUUAUUCUUUUUUUUGCCAAGUAGGAGGAAAUCACAAAGCAAAGAAGAUCUAUUAUUUAAAGGUGUUAGAUGAGACCAGUCCCUAUUGUAACUUCCUCAGUCUCAGUGGUGCUUUUCAAUUGUGACACAUCUUCUGCCAUGAUGAAUUAGCACAUCUGCUUUUAAUUUACUGGCCUUGCAGCACAAAAUUAGUAUGUCGUUACUUUUGCAUUGCCGUGAUGAUAAUAUUAUUGGAUUUAUAUUCUCGUAUUUUUGAUAUAUUUAUUUUGAAUACAGGUGACAGCAAAACAUGGACCCCAAUUCCAAACAGGUAGAUGGAAACACAGAGGAAAACCUUUGCUUAUCUUGAGGUCUUAUCUGCAUUCCCUUCUGGAAAAGACGAUACUAAUUCACCUGCCACUCAGGCUAUCUAAUUAUUAAUGGAAAUAGUUCUAAAUACGAUGGCACAGGACAUGAUAGCCUUUUUAAUAACAGUGUGGCUACCUGAUCAGCUCAUAUCAGGGACAGGACUCUUAUCAGCUAUGUUUCAAAAAGUUUCAGAUAUAUUUUCAGGUGCAAUCUAAAUCCUACUGUUUACUGUGUUUGAAACCAGUGCCUUCAGCACGUUUCUGCUUUUGGAGGAUCUUAACGUUCAGUAAUGAGAAGGAUAAUAGAAGUAUGGUAUAAGGAACUCACAAAAGGGGGUCUCUUGGAGCCUGAUUGUCCAGUUCUAUGUAUUUUAUAAAACUCAGAAAUGGUCCCUGCCCUUCUAGGAAGUUCAAAUAAAAAUUAGCCAAGCCCAUUAAAUUACUGAAGAGGAUCCAUGCAAAAAGGGCAUGCUCAAUUAGCAUGUAGCAUCACCAUCUGACAGGGGAGGCUUUUUAGCCCUGUGCAGCUUUUAGGGACAAAUUAUUCCCAUGGUGGACUCCCAAAGUCUCAUUGAUCAGUAGCUUUGAAUGCUGAUGUGAUACAGCAGUGCGAAUACAGGUCAGACUCACUCCGGGUGUAUUUCACUGAAACUGUAUUUUUUGCUGACUUCUUUGAUCUCCGGGCUGCCCAUUAGUGAAGUGUCCAAGCAUCUCAUAAACAGCAGUGAAUUCAGCUCCAGCAUGCCCUGUGAAGUGGGAAAGGGCUGGCCUUGCAUUUGGCAGAUGAGUAACUAAAGCCAAGGGAGAUGGAGAACAUUUCCAAACAGAACCCUAGUAAUAAAGGUAAGAGAAGCACCAAGUCUGAGAAUGUUAAUUAGUGAGGAAAUUAAAAGCAAAGACCCUAAUGAAGUCAAUGGACUGUGCCAUCUAUAGAAAAAAAAUUGCAAUGUCUUCCAUAUGAGUUCAGAGGUGUUCCCUGCUAUACUGUGUUUCCCACGGACUACAAAGUGCACACUGCUGAGGUUGUCACUGCAUGGGCCAGUGGUCCCACAGGAACCCACAGUCUGGAGGUGACUGAGAACCCAAGAACACCAGUGCCAUGGAGAAGAUACCUGUUCCCAAAGCAAAUUGCCCUGUGCUGGAAUGCAGUAAAAGUGCAGUCCCUUUGGCUGGGAUUGAUUAACUGCAAAGUAGUGGGUGAUAUCAAAGGACCAAAACCUCUCAUUUCUUGUCAAGGAAAGCAAGAUGUGAAUUCCUGGGAAGAACAAAGUUCUUCUGAGGUGUGAAGAGUCCUUUAUCCUGACCUUUGCUCCAGGGAUGGUUUAUGGUAUAUACAUAACAAAAGUAUAUAUGCCUCUUGCGUUUUAAAGGUGCAGUGUGAGCAAGAGCCAGGACUCAAGAUUGUCCAUCUCUCUACAGGGAAUACCUCUCUUAAUGUGCUGAGGAGUCAGAUUCACUGAUUUUCUGCUUUGACCAGUACCCAGAUCUAGAAAUUUGGUCAUCACAUGAAAUAUCUACAUGAAUACGUUCAGCAUAUUCCCACCAUGCAAAAUUUUCUGGACUCAGGAAGAGUUUAAUCAUCUCAACAACCAAACUGCAAUUGCUCCAAACUGUAGAGGAGCACGAAGGGCCCUAACAAGUCAGCUGUUCUCAAAAUGGAGCCACCAAGUGACUUUGAGCACUUUCAACCGCGCUGCUAAAGAAUCACACUCUAAAUCUCACAUGAUGACUUAUCCCACAUAACUCCAUUUCCCACCUCAGUUCCUGUUUAGGUGGCACUGAAGCACGAAGACUUUUGCUUUUUUCGGUCUGCUAAUUUAAAGCUCCUCCUGAGAUCAGCUGAGUCACCGGGCUCAGACUGUGUUGCAUGUCCCUGCAAGCAUGAGCACUGAGCAGACUAAAUCUAGGCUAAGAGCAUCUCCAGUGAGGACCCACCUCACUCUUGUAGAUCAGAAUGUCAUUCUGCCAUUCCCCUGCAAUUUCAGGUUUUUGGGUGACCUGGUUUCCAUUCUGGCAGGGCUAGUGUAGGAGUUAUCCCUGUCAGUGAUUCCAUCAUUCCCCUCAGUUGGCUUUAGCGCUGCUGAUAAAGGUGCGCUAACUCUGAUCAAGAGGAUUUACAACAACUAGCGCUCAGAAGCCAUUGACAGAAGUCUUGGCUUUUAUUUCACUUACUGUUUUGCUUAUUCAUUGGGAUUACUUUUUAAGGAAAUUGUUAGGCCUCCUGAGUCCAAAUCACCAGGUAUAAGAAGAUCAAUGGACAAAAUGAGAAUGAUCACUUGGAGCUGUUCAAGAUCACACCAGCUAAAAAUCAAUUUUUACUUAUUACAGAAAGUAAAGGUCACAAUUAAAAUUUAGAAAGAAAAAGGCACAAGGAAGAAAAGAAAAAGCCAAAGAAAAUAAAUGAUUACGCACAUUUGAUUGUAGACUCUAAGUGAGGAGUUUUAACACAAGAAAUCCGGUGAUGAGAAAGGAUGUAAAUUUAUGCUAAAUUGGGCUAACAAUAGUCAGAAGGACACUUUGAGCUUCAUGGGAGCAAGAGGAACUCUAACAUUGGAACUGAGAAUUAUAAAAUUGCCCAAAAUAAUCCAGAAAAAGAAAAGGUGUUCAAUAAAUAAGUGCUGUAUAUAACUUCAGUAGAUAACUGCCGAGGAUCAGGUGAUGCAAUAACUUCAUAAGAAAAUCAUGGAACAAUUUUCACUCCAACAGUGCAUCAGAAGGACGUCAAAAAAGAGCUAUUGAUUUUGGCAUAUUUAUAGCCAGUAGUCUCAAAAAGUAGCAUAGGAGAGUUUAAAAGGAGCUACAUGAAAACCCCUUCACUGGUGUUGACUUCUCAAUAACUUUUUUAAUAGUAAGGAAGUUCCAGAAGAUGGGUGAAAGUAAUGUGAUGCCAAUAUUCUAAAAAAAAAAGUAAAUUAGAGAAGAAAUGAUACAUCUCGGGUAAAUACAAGUUUUUUCAGACUGACUAACAUCAGUCCCAGGCAAAAUAAAGGAAUGGCUGAUAUGGGACUCAAUUAAUAGGGAAUAAAAGGAAGGCAGCGUAAUUGUUGUCGCUCAGCAGGGUUUUUGGCAAAUAGAUCCUGUCAAACUCACUUGGUAUCUUUCUUUGAUGAGAUUACAAAUUGGCUGAUAGAGGUAGCAGGUUUGCUAUAUUUGGGCUUUUGCAAGACUUGUAAUGCAGUCAGUACCAU